rnacentral:rRNA from 1 species
UACGUAGGGGGCAAGCGUUGUCCGGAUUUAUUGGGCGUAAAGAGCGUGUAGGCGGCCUUACAGGUCAGCUGUGAAAACUCGAGGCUCAACCUCGAGACGUCGGUUGAAACCGUAAGGCUAGAGUCCGGAAGAGGAGAGUGGAAUUCCCGGUGUAGCGGUGAAUGCGCAGAUAUCGGGAAGAACACCCGUGGCGAAGGCGGCUCUCUGGGACGGUACUGACGCAUGAGACGGCGAAAGCGUGGGGAGCGAACAGG